rnacentral:rRNA from 1 species
GGAAGGCGAAGCCGCGAGGCAGAGCGAACCCCAAAAAGACCGUCCCAGUUCGGAUCGCAGGCUGCAACCCGCCUGCGUGAAGUCGGAAUCGCUAGUAAUCGCGGAUCAGCAUGCCGCGGUGAAUACGUUCCCGGGCCUUGUACACACCGCCCGUCACACCAUGAGAGUCGGGAACACCCGAAGUCCGUAGCCUAACAGCAAUGAGGGCGCGGCCGAAGGUGGGUUCGAUAAUUGGGGUGAAGUCGUAACAAGGUAUC